rnacentral:rRNA from 1 species
GACGAACGCUGGCGGCGUGCUUAACACAUGCAAGUCGAACGGAAAUGCCCUGCUUGCAGGGUGCUCGAGUGGCGAACGGGUGAGUAACACGUGGGUGAUCUGCCCCUUACUUUGGGAUAAGCCUGGGAAACUGGGUCUAAUACUGGAUAGGACCAUGCUGUAGGGGGUGUGGUGGAAAGAUUAGUUUCGGUAAGGGAUGAGCUCGCGGCCUAUCAGCUUGUUGGUGGGGUAAUGGCCUACCAAGGCGUCGACGGGUAGCCGGCCUGAGAGGGUGGACGGCCACAUUGGGCCUGAGCUACGGGCCAGACUCCUACGGGAGGCAGCAGUGGGGGAUAUUGGACAAUGGGCGCAAGCCUGAUGCAGCGACGCCGCGUGGGGGAUGACGGCCUUCGGGUUGUAAACUCCUUUCAGCCAUGACGAAGCCCUUGUGGUGACGGUAGUGGUAGAAGAAGCACCGGCUAACUACGUG